AUUGAACGCUGGCGGCAGGCCUAACACAUGCAAGUCGAGCGGAGCGGCCGACGGGUGAGUAAUGCCUAGCAAUCUGCCUGCUAGUGGGGGAUAACGUCCGGCAACGGGCGCUAAUUACGCCUACUAUCAGUCGAGCCUAGGUAGGAUUAGCGAGUUGGUGGGGUAAAGGCCUACCAAGGCGACGAUCCGUAACUGGUCUGAGAGGAUGAACAGUCACACUGGAACUGAGACACGGUCCAGACUCCUACGGGAGGCAGCAGUGGGGAAUAUUGGACAAGGGGCGAAAGCCUGAUGCAGCCAUGCCGCGUGUGUGAAGAAGGUCUUCGGAUUGUAAAGCACUUUAAGUUGGGAGGCGUUACCAACAGAAUAAGCACCGGCUAACUUCGUGCCAGCAGCCGCGGUAAUUC
rnacentral:rRNA from 1 species